rnacentral:rRNA from 1 species
UGGUGGAUUGAUUUGUCUGGUUGAUUCCGAUAACGAACGAGAUCUCUGCAAGAUACCUGGUCUGACAGGGUCUUUUCCCUGGUCAGUCAGUUUCUGGACAGUGCAUGGCAAGUGCAAGGAAGUGGAGGCAAUAACA